rnacentral:rRNA from 1 species
UCCACGCAGUAAACGAUGAAUGUUAGUCGUCGGGAUGCAAGUCAUUUCGGUGAUGCAGUUAACACAUUAAACAUUCCGCCUGGGGAGUACGGUCGCAAGACUAAAACUCAAAGAAAUUGACGGGGGCCCGCACAAGCGGUGGAGCAUGUGGUUUAAUUCGACGCAACGCGAAGAACCUUACCCAGACUUGACAUCCUGUGGAUCUGUAAGAGAUUAUAGAGUGCCUUCGGGAG